GACGAACGCUGGCGGCGUGCUUAACACAUGCAAGUCGAACGGGCCUUGUCCCCUUUUUUUUGGGGGUGGGGUUAGUGGCGCACGGGUGAGUAACACGUGAGUAACCUGCCCCUCACUUCUGGAUAACCGCUUGAAAGGGUGGCUAAUACGGGGUGUUCUGGCCUGCUCGCAUGGGUGGGUUUGGAAAGAUUCGACCGGUUUUGGUUGUUUUGGUGGGGGAUGGGCUCGCGGCCUAUCAGCUUGUUGGUGGGGUGAUGGCCUGCCAAGGCUUUGACGGGUAGCCGGCCUGAGAGGGUGGGCGGUCACACUGGGACUGAGACACGGCCCAGACUCCUACGGGAGGCAGCAGUGGGGAAUAUUGCACAAUGGGCGCAAGGCUGAUGCAGCGACGCCGCGUGAGGGAUGGAGGCCUUCGGGUUGUGAACCUCUUUCGCCAGUGAAGAAGGUCCUGCUCUUUGUGGUGGGGUUGACGGUAGCUGGGUUAAUGAAGCGCCGGCUAACUACGUG
rnacentral:rRNA from 1 species